rnacentral:rRNA from 1 species
CAGAAGAGGACAGUGGAACUCCAUGUGUAGCGGUGAAAUGCGUAGAUAUAUGGAAGAACACCAGUGGCGAAGGCGGCUGUCUGGUCUGUAACUGACGCUGAGGCUCGAAAGUAUGGGUAGCAAACAGGAUUAGAUACCCUGGUAGUCCAUGCCGUAAACGAUGAGUGCUAAGUGUUGGAGGGUUUCCGCCCUUCAGUGCUGCAGCUAACGCAUUAAGCACUCCGCCUGGGGAGUACGACCGCAAGGUUGAAACUCAAAGGAAUUGACGGGGGCCCGCACAAGCGGUGGAGCAUGUGGUUUAAUUCGAAGCUACGCGAAGAACCUUACCAGGUCUUGACAUCUUCUGCCAAUCUUAGAGAUAAGACGUUCCCUUCGGGGACAGAAUGACAGGUGGUGCAUGGUUGUCGUCAGCUCGUGUCGUGAGAUGUUGGGUUAAGUCCCGCAACGAGCGCAACCCUUAUUAUCAGUUGCCAGCAUUCAGUUGGGCACUCUGGUGAGACUGCCGGUGACAAACCGGAGGAAGGUGGGGAUGACGUCAAAUCAUCAUGCCCCUUAUGACCUGGGCUACACACGUGCUACAAUGGACGGUACAACGAGUUGCGAAGUCGUGAGGCUAAGCUAAUCUCUUAAAGCCGUUCUCAGUUCGGAUUGUAGGCUGCAACUCGCCUACAUGAAGUCGGAAUCGCUAGUAAUCGCGGAUCAGCAUGCCGCGGUGAAUACGUUCCCGGGCCUUGUACACACCGCCCGUCACACCAUGAGAGUUUGUAACACCCAAAGUCGGUGGGGUAACCUUUUAGGAACCAGCCGCCUAAGGUGGGACAGAUGAUUAGGGUGAAGUCGUAANCAAGGUAGCCGUA